AACCUGGUUGAUCCUGCCAGUAGUCAUAUGCUUGUCUCAAAGAUUAAGCCAUGCAUGUCUAAGUAUAAGCACUUGUACUGUGAAACUGCGAAUGGCUCAUUAAAUCAGUUAUCGUUUAUUUGAUUGUACUUUACUACAUGGAUACCUGUGGUAAUUCUAGAGCUAAUACAUGCGAGAAAUCCCAACUUCUGGAAGGGAUGUAUUUAUUAGAUUAAAAACCAAUGCGAAUCUUCGGCUUCGUUUUCUUGGUGAUUCAUGAUAACUUUUCGAAUCGCAUGGCCUAGAGCCGGCGAUAUUUCAUUCAAAUUUCUGCCCUAUCAACUGUCGAUGGUAAGGUAGUGGCUUACCAUGGUUAUAACGGGUGACGGAGAAUUAGGGUUCGAUUCCGGAGAGGGAGCCUGAGAAACGGCUACCACAUCUAAGGAAGGCAGCAGGCUCGAAAAUUACCCAAUCCCGACUCGGGGAGGUAGUGACAAGAAAUAACGAUACGGGGUCUUAAUAGGUCUCGCAAUUGGAAUGAGUACAAUUUAAAUCCUCUAACGAGGAUCAAUUGGAGGGCAAGUCUGGUGCCAGCAGCCGCGGUAAUUCCAGCUCCAAUAGC
rnacentral:rRNA from 1 species